UACGUAGGGGGCAAGCGUUGUCCGGAUUUAUUGGGCGUAAAGAGCGUGUAGGCGGCCAGACAGGUCCGUUGUGAAAACUCGAGGCUCAACCUCGAGAUGUCGAUGGAAACCGUCUGGCUAGAGUCCGGAAGAGGAGUGUGGAAUUCCUGGUGUAGCGGUGAAAUGCGCAGAUAUCAGGAAGAACACCGAUGGCGAAGGCAGCGCUCUGGGACGGUACUGACGCUGAGACGCGAAAGCGUGGGGAGCGAACAGG
rnacentral:rRNA from 1 species